rnacentral:lncRNA from 1 species
ACUGGAUUUGGGUGCCCCAGCACUUUGCACCCUUUUCUUGUUCUUCUUGUUCUUCUUUCCUUUCUUAAAGGAUUGACGUCUAGAAGAAGACCCUCCCACAAUAUUCACUGACUCUUUUUUGAGCUGGUGAUCUUUCUCAAAGUUUUAUAGUAAUCCCAGCAAAUCGUGGUAGUUAAUUGCAUACUUUGUCAUUCAAAAAUGAGUAAGGA